GAACGCAUAUUGCGCUCUUUGGUAUUCCGAAGAGCAUGCUUGUUUGAGUAUCAGUAAUAAACCUCAACCAAAAUAUUCUUUUUUGGAUGGAUUUGAGCAAUCUCAAUAUCAUUUUUUUUUUAAAAAUGAGUGCGAGUUGCUUUAAAUUUUGGUUUAGUCAAUUUGAAAUACAAUGGACUUGCUAAACAUAUCUUAAUUAAUCUUUCUAAGAUUAUUAUUUCUGUGAAGCUUGAUUAUUGGUUAAUAUUUCUUAUCAGGCUAACUGAUGCAGUAACUACGAAAGAUGUCAAAAGUCUUUUGUUAACUCGAUCUCAAAUCAAGUAAGACUACCCGCUGAACUUAAG
rnacentral:misc_RNA from 1 species